AGCGUCACACCGACCCCCCAGGGACUUCUUGGCGCGACGUCAGAAUGACUACUUCGUUUCUCGGCCAGACCUCAGCAAGAUUCAACUUCGACACGCCCACUAGGAUGCAGUUGUCUCGUCUAGGGAUGUCUUCCUAGGUUUUUAGAUAGUAAUAAGUCAUUAUGUAUUUCAAUGUAGAAACUUUUAUAAUUUGCUAAAUUUUAAUAAAUGUAAAUUAUGAGUGCUUCCGCGUCCACCGCGCUUGUUUCGGUCAGGAUCUCGCGCGCAUCGCGGCGGGGCCCCUCCUGAGUGCAAAGACAACACCCUGGUUUGACAGGGUCCAAGAAUUGGUAUCCCAGAGUCCCAGAGCCGGCGCCGACAUUGCGGCCAAAUGCUCUCCCUCAUCUUCGGUAACCGGAAACUACUGAGGCACCACCUGGCAGCCCGGCUACAGUAUGAUGUAUCACUCCCGACCAGCAAGUUCCAAAUAUACGACACCCAAAUACCCCGCGACUUAGAGCGUGCCAGUGCUAUGCAAUUUCUAAGUGUCAGCUAAUUGUACUAAGUAAAUCUGCGAUAACUAAAGUGGGAAGUGCAGUUCUUUAAUUAUGCUACAUGCUAAUAAUCAUAACUCUGGGAUUGUUUAUUUUUAUUUUUAACUAUCGUGUAAGGUACCUCUUAAUAAUUUGGCACGGGCCGGCCCUGUUAUAAAAUUUUACCUAUGAAGGUAUUAACCUAUAUUAUAAAUUGUAACUUCUAAUGUAUUAGUCCAAUUAUAUAUUUUAAGUAAUUAACUAUUUUAUCAAACCAACUUGUAAUUAUCAAGUUGAUAUUUUGUUUACUUUUGUUUAUUUAACUAUGAUAUAAAAAUAAAUAGAGGCACAGUUAUAGACGAAA